UACGUAGGGCGCAAGCGUUGUCCGGAUUUAUUGGGCGUAAAGAGCUCGUAGGCGGUUUGUCGCGUCUUCCGUGAGAACUGGGGGCUUAACUUCCAGCUUGCGGUGGAUACGGGCUGACUGGAGUGCGGCAGGGGAGACUGGAAUUCCUGGUGUAGCGGUGAAAUGCGCAGAUAUCAGGAGGAACACCAAUUGCGAAGGCAGCUCGCUGGGACGUUACUGACGCUGAGAAGCGAAAGCGAGGGGAGCAAACAGG
rnacentral:rRNA from 1 species